GCGGCCAUGACGCUUUCCCCGCGUUGGAUCAUUGUUUACAUCACACGGAGAGAGAGUCACAUUGUUUUAUAAGAUGGCAUGAAAACGAUUGUAAUGUUUUUGCUACAUUUGUGUAUUUGUAAGAAUGGAAAGCGAAUUGUAAACAUUAUUAUACAGUGCAAUCUCAUUGUAAAUAAUCAUUUGUUCUUUAACUGACUUGCCUAGUUAAAUAAAGGUUAAAUACAAAUUAAAAAAAUACAUCUCUGGUGUCAUCUACCUAUGAUGCACGUAGCAUUUAGCGGCAUCGGUAAAUCAUAUUUUUACAAUCGUAGCAAUUUUAAUGCAUACUUGCGCUUAAAUUUGUGUUUUUUUGUAUGGAAUAAGACGUCUGUUAAGUUGUGAGAAAGUAGCAUGCUACAGUAGUUUAUUUUCGGUUCCAGUGUAUGGCACAGUUUUUUGUAAUAGUAUCAGUCAUGUAUUAGCUAAUAGAUGUAUUUUGUUAGCUAGUUUAAUGGUGUAAAAAUCGUGAUAUUUCCCUUGCAUUUCAAUCUACACAGUCAUAUGGGUCUGCAAUAUUAGGUAGGCUAUUCAAUUCCCUUGACAUUCUGCAAGCAUUAAUACUUUACAAUAAUGGAAGAUAUGCAUCGUCUUAAUCUUACUAUUGUCCAUGUAGAUUUUUUUAUUACAUUUUUUAAAAAUUGAACCUUUAUUUAACUAGACAAGUCAGUUAAGAACACAUUCUUAGAUCUGACAUGCGUUUAAAUUUUACACAACUUUACAUGCAUGCUUUCCAUAAAUGCAAUGUGUGCGUGCUUUGCACAGAUGAAAACCCUUCCAUGAUGACCCUCUUCCUGUAUUAGUCAUAUAGGCCUAUGGAUUAUUUGUCCUAUAGCUAAAUAACUAAAGCUAGUAGCUCACUAAAUCUAGUAGCUGUAGCCAUGCUGCUGCUUGGCUAUAGAUUUGCACUCAUGGUGCUGAGAAUGCUUAGUACUGUAGCUGUCACUUAUGUAUUCUCUGUAUGUAUUAUGUAUGAACCCUUGGACGUACAGGUACCUCCAGCAUGCCCUCCUGCCUCACAUUUGGCCCCUGUCCCUCAUGAUCUACCUCAGGUCCUCUUGUAAUCCACCCCAUUCUUCUGUCUGUGCCUUGGUAGGGCGAAGACCAGCAGAAGAGGGUGAUGUCCUUCCUGCCUCGAUAGCAUGCCUCAGAAAGUGCUGAGCUGGUGAUUCCGGAGAGCUGGCAGGCAACUCUCAACAGGAAGCAGCAGCAGUGGAUUGACCGGACGCUGUUUACCAAUAGCUGCCUACGGAGCUCACAGUUCAUCACUGUCCUUGCCCCUGUGGGCAAAAAACAGAAGAGGGCGAUGUUCUUCUUGCCUCCAAGGCCUGCCUCAGAAAGUUCUGGGAUGAGUUUUUCUAUAAUAAAUGAGAAGCUUAGAAAUGCGCUUGCGGGCAACUCUCAACAAGCAUCAGCAGCGGUGGAUUGGCCGGACGCUGUUUACCAGGAGCAGCAUGGGGAGUUCAUAAUUCAUCACUGACUUGCUUGAGACACCAGACUAACGACGGUCCAGUGUUUGCUUGUCUAACCCAUGCUGACAAGAGACAUUUAAGUGUGACAUUUUGUAACUAAUCAGCAUUUCACUCAAAUGUGUGGCAUGCAUAUGCAAUGCUUAAAAUUGUCUACUACAAAUGGACAGUUAUAUAGACACUCCUGUUAUGUCUAUGGCUUCCUCUAACUUUGAAAUGUUAAUUGUAAACUGAAAAUAACUAUGUUUUAAGUUCUGCUGAGUGGAAGAUUGUAGAACAGUGGCUGGCGGAGAUGAGAGACGCUAAGGGGCGAGGUGCUGAAGGAAACUGAGCCACUCGUAGGGUGGUCGUGAAACAAUCCUUUUGUAUAUACACUGAACAAAAAAUAUAAACACAGCAUGUAAAGUGUUGGUCCCAUGUUUCAUGAGCUGAAAUAAAAAAUCCCAGAAAUGUU